rnacentral:rRNA from 1 species
UACGGGGGGAGCAAGCGUUGUUCGGAUUCACUGGGCGUAAAGGGUGCGCAGGUGGUCGGGUAAGUCUGAUGUGAAAUCCCGCAGCUUAACUGCGGAAUGGCAUUGGAUACUAUUCGGCUAGAGGGUUGGAGGGGGGACUGGAAUUCUCGGUGUAGCAGUGAAAUGCGUAGAUAUCGAGAGGAACACCGGUGGCGAAGGCGGCAUCCUGGACCGACACUGACGCUGAGGAGCGAAAGCCAGGGGAGCAAACGGG